AUUGAACGCUGGCGGCAGGCCUAACACAUGCAAGUCGAGCGGAUGACGGGAGAUUGCUCCUUGAUUCAGCGGCGGACGGGUGAGUAAUGCCUAGGAAUCUGCCUGGUAGUGGGGGACAACGUUUCGAAAGGAACGCUAAUACCGCAUACGUCCUACGUGAGAAAGCAGGGGACCUUCGGGCCUUGCGCUAUCAGAUGAGCCUAGGUCGGAUUAGUUAGUUGGAGGGGUAAUGGCUCACCAAGUCGUCGAUCCGUAACUGGUCUGAGAGGAUGAGCAGUCACACUGGAACUGAGACACGGUCCAGACUCCUACGUGAGGCAGCAGUGGGGAAUAUUGGACAAUGGGCGAAAGCCUGAUCCAGCCAUGCCGCGUGUGUGAAGAAGGUCUUCGGAUUGUAAAGCACUUUAAGUUGGGAGGAAGGGCAGUAAGUUAAUACCUUGCUGUUUUGACGUUACCGACAGAAUAAGCACCGGCUAACUCUGUGCCAGCAGCCGCAGUAAGAC
rnacentral:rRNA from 1 species